UACGUAGGGGGCAAGCGUUGUCCGGAAUCAUUGGGUUUAAAGGGUCCGUAGGCGGUUUUGUAAGUCAGUGGUGAAAGCCCAUCGCUCAACGGUGGAACGGCCAUUGAUACUGCAAGACUUGAAUUAUUAGGAAGUAACUAGAAUAUGUAGUGUAGCGGUGAAAUGCUUAGAUAUUACAUGGAAUACCAAUUGCGAAGGCAGGUUACUACUAAUGGAUUGACGCUGAUGGACGAAAGCGUGGGGAGCGAACAGG
rnacentral:rRNA from 1 species